rnacentral:rRNA from 1 species
GACAGAGGGGGCAAGCGUUGCUCGGAAUCACUGGGCGUAAAGGGCGCGUAGGCGGGCCGAAAAGUCAGGGGUGAAAUCCUCCAGCCCAACUGGAGAAGCGCCUUUGGUACUGUCGGCCUCGAGGGGUGCAGGGGCAUGCGGAACUCAGGGUGGAGCGGUGAAAUGCGUAGAUAUCCUGAGGAACACCGGUGGCGAAAGCGGCGUGCUGGACACCUUCUGACGCUGAGGCGCGAAAGCCAGGGGAGCGAACGGG